AGAAAUAACAAUGAGAGAUUGUAAUUGACUUCAAUAAAAGGGUCACCUCUUCAUCCCAACAGAACCCGAGACACACUCCUUCAGCNUGUGACAACACUACUCCAUUUCCCAUCAACGUUCAUAGACAAGCUAUCCAUAGGCGGCUGGACCAAACUUUUCAUCCGUUCAAAAUGAAAUUGUCGAGACAUCUAAGCAAAGAGUGUCAG
rnacentral:lncRNA from 1 species